rnacentral:rRNA from 1 species
GGACUACUGGGGUAUCUAAUCCCUUUUGCUCCCCACGCUUUCGUGCCUGAGCGUCAGCAAUUGUCCAGGUAGCCGCCUUCGCCUCUGGUAUUCCUCACGAUAUCUACGCAUUUCACUGCUACACCGUGAAUUCUGCUACCCUCUCCAAUGCUCUAGCCGUGUAGUUUGAGGUGCAAUUCCGGAGUUGAGCUCCGGGCUUUCACGCCUCACACACACGGCCGCCUGCGCACCCUUUACGCCCAGUGAAUCCGAAUAACGCUUGCAGUCUCUGUAUUACCGCGGCUGCUGGCAC